rnacentral:rRNA from 1 species
AUUGAACGCUGGCGGCAGGCCUAACACAUGCAAGUCGAGCGAGCGGCGGACGGGUGAGUCAUGUCUGGGAGACUGCCUGAUGGAGGGGGAUUACUACUGGAAACGGUAGCUAAUACCGCAUACCAUCAGAUGUGCCCAGAUGGGAUUAGCUGGUAGGUGGGGUAACGGCCAACCUAGGCGACGAUCCCUAGCUGGUCUGAGAGGAUGACCAGCCACACGGGAACUGAGACACGGUCCAGACUCCUACGGGAGGCAGCAGUGGGGAAUAUUGGACAAUGGGCGCAAGCCUGAUGCAGCCAUGCCGCGUGUGUGAAGAAGGCCUUCGGGUUGUAAAGCACUUUCAGCGGGGAGGCGUUACCCGCAGAAGAAGCACCGGCUAACUCCGUGCCAGCAGCCGCGGUAAUAC